UACGAAGGUGGCAAGCGUUGUUCGGAUUCACUGGGCGUACAGGGAGCGUAGGCGGUUGGGUAAGCCCUCCGUGAAAUCUCCGGGCCUAACCCGGAAAGUGCAGAGGGGACUGCUCAGCUAGAGGAUGGGAGAGGAGCGCGGAAUUCCCGGUGUAGCGGUGAAAUGCGUAGAGAUCGGGAGGAAGGCCGGUGGCGAAGGCGGCGCUCUGGAACAUUUCUGACGCUGAGGCUCGAAAGCGUGGGGAGCAAACAGG
rnacentral:rRNA from 2 species